rnacentral:tRNA from 1 species
GCCUGAAUGGCUCAGUCAGUUAAGCGUCCGACUUCAGCUCAGGUCAUGAUCUCACGGUCCGUGGGUUCAAGACCCACAUCGGGCU